rnacentral:rRNA from 1 species
UACGAACCGUCCAAACGUUACUCGGAAUCACUGGGCUUAAAGGGUGCGUAGGCUGCGCGGAGGGUGGGAUGUGAAAUCCCCCGGCUUAACCGGGGAAUAGCGUCCCAAACCGCCGUGCUCGAGGGAGAUAGAGGUGAGCGGAACAGAUGGUGAAGCGGUGAAAUGCGUUGAUAUCAUCUGGAACACCCGUGGCGAAAGCGGCUCACUGGCUCUUUCCUGACGCUGAGGCACGAAAGCUAGGGGAGCGAACGGG